AGAGUUUGAUCCUGGCUCAGGACGAACGCUGGCGGCGUGCUUAACACAUGCAAGUCGAACGGAAAGGCCCUUCGGGGUACUCGAGUGGCGAACGGGUGAGUAACACGUGGGUGAUCUGCCCUGCACUUUGGGAUAAGCCUGGGAAACUGGGUCUAAUACCGAAUAUGACCAUGCGCCUCCUGGUGUGUGGUGGAAAGCUUUUGCGGUGUGGGAUGGGCCCGCGGCCUAUCAGCUUGUUGGUGGGGUAAUGGCCUACCAAGGCGACGACGGGUAGCCGGCCUGAGAGGGUGACCGGCCACACUGGGACUGAGAUACGGCCCAGACUCCUACGGGAGGCAGCAGUGGGGAAUAUUGCACAAUGGGCGCAAGCCUGAUGCAGCGACGCCGCGUGAGGGAUGACGGCCUUCGGGUUGUAAACCUCUUUCAGUGCCGACGAAGCGCAAGUGACGGUAGGCAUAGAAGAAGGACCGGCCAACUACGUGCCAGCAGCCGCGGUAAUACGUAGGGUCCGAGCGUUGUCCGGAAUUACUGGGCGUAAAGAGCUCGUAGGUGGUUUGUCGCGUUGUUCGUGAAAACUCACAGCUCAACUGUGGGCGUGCGGGCGAUACGGGCAGACUUGAGUACUGCAGGGGAGACUGGAAUUCCUGGUGUAGCGGUGGAAUGCGCAGAUAUCAGGAGGAACACCGGUGGCGAAGGCGGGUCUCUGGGCAGUAACUGACGCUGAGGAGCGAAAGCGUGGGGAGCGAACAGGAUUAGAUACCCUGGUAGUCC
rnacentral:rRNA from 1 species